GCUCCACCUGUGGAAAAGAAGAUGAAAUAACUGAGAUUCUUUCUUGAUGUAAAUUUUUUUUUUUAUAAGAAUUAAAUUGUUAAAUUUAACUAAAUAAUUAAUAUUUAAAUUGUGUUUUAUCAUAAAAAUUGAAGUACUAAGUGUGGAGACCAAAUUGAAUACAAAUAAUCAGAAUACUUUUACCUUCCCCUAUUUUAGAGAUCCACCUGAAUUAUAUGAACAAUAUAUUAAAAUGUAAGAUCAAAUGUCUAAUUGAUUAAUUUUUUAUUUUUUUCAAUUGUAAACAAAAUGAAAAUUCAACAAAAAAUUUUUUUGCUUUGUGUUCUCUUUAUUGACACCCCCUGGUGAAUGCAUUAUACAUUAUUCUUCAGGAAUCCUGAGGCGGAUUACCUGAAGGUCCUUCCGGACACUGGACUAAUCGUUCAGUUUACAAAGGUUUUUUUUUUUUUGAGUUUAAUUUCAUUAGUUUAACUUCAUUAGUUUCAAUUCAUUAGUUUAAUUUCAUAUUUGGUAAAGUUGAAAUGGGUGCCGUUUGUUUGAAGGUCCAAAGAUAGUUUGACUCAUUAGGUUUGUCAUAAAGAAAAGGAGAAAAUAAAAAAACAAAA